rnacentral:rRNA from 1 species
GGAGAGUUUGAUCCUGGCUCAGGAUGAACGCUAGCGGCAGGCCUAAUACAUGCAAGUCGAACGGGUGGUCGCAAGACCACUAGUGGCGCACGGGUGCGUAACGCGUAACCAACCUACCUGGAUCUGGGGGAUAGCCCGCCGAAAGGCGGAUUAAUACCGCAUAAGCUAAGUGACUGGCAUCAGUUAUUUCGUAAAGAUUUAUUGGAUUCUGAUGGGGUUGCGUAGCAUUAGCUAGAUGGCGGGGUAACGGCCCACCAUGGCGACGAUGCUUAGGGGACCUGAGAGGGUGAUCCCCCACACUGGCACUGAGAUACGGGCCAGACUCCUACGGGAGGCAGCAGUAGGGAAUAUUGGGCAAUGGGCGAGAGCCUGACCCAGCCAUGCCGCGUGCCGGAUGAAGGCCUUCUGGGUUGUAAACGGCUUUUCUCAGGGAAGAAAAAGGGGAUGCGUCCCAAACUGACGGUACCUGAGGAAUAAGCACCGGCUAACUCCGUGCCAGCAGCCGCGGUAAUACGGAGGGUGCAAGCGUUGUCCGGAUUUAUUGGGUUUAAAGGGUGCGUAGGUGGCUUGUUAAGUCCGGGGUGAAAGCCCACAGCUCAACUGUGGAACUGCCCUGGAUACUGGCAAGCUUGAGAGUCGUCGAGGGUGGCGGAAUGGACGGUGUAGCGGUGAAAUGCAUAGAUACCGUCCAGAACCCCAAUUGCGUAGGCAGCUGCCUAGGCGACAUCUGACACUGAGGCACGAAAGCGUGGGGAGCAAACAGGAUUAGAUACCCUGGUAGU